rnacentral:rRNA from 1 species
AGUGAACGCUGGCGGUAGGCCUAACACAUGCAAGUCGAACGGCAGCACAGUAAGAGCUUGCUCUUACGGGUGGCGAGUGGCGGACGGGUGAGGCAUACAUCGGAAUCUACUUUUUCGUGGGUGAUAACGUAGGGAAACUUACGCUAAUACCGCAUACGACCUACGGGUGAAAGCAGGGGAUCUUCGGACCUUGCGCGAUUGAAUGAGCCGAUGUCGGAUUAGCUAGUUGGCGGGGUAAAGGCACACCAAGGCGACGAUCCGUAGCUGGUCUGAGAGGAUGAUCAGCCACACUGGAACUGAGACACGGUCCAGACUCCUACGGGAGGCAGCAGUGGGGAAUAUUGGACAAUGGGCGCAAGCCUGAUCCAGCCAUACCGCGUGGGUGAAGAAGGCCUUCGGGUUGUAAAGCCCUUUUGUUGGGAAAGAAAAGCAGCAGGUUAAUCCCCCGCUGUUCUGACGGUACCCAAAGAAUAAGCACCGGCUAACUUCGUG